GAAGCGUUUGACCUGAUUGAAAUUCUGUCUUAAGAGAUGAACAAAAAUCGGCACCAUUAUCAGAGCAACAGAAAUGGUUGAGGUGCGGAGCAAUCCUACAGGAUGAUCUGAUGAUAUGUGAUGGGAAACCAAUACUACCAAAGUCUUUACACAAAACAGCAGCUCUUGUGACACAUAGAGUUACUCAUGUGUCAACAGGAGGGAGUAUAAUUAGUUAAAAACACACUUCUAUACAUUAAAUUUCGAAACUUUGGCAAAAGGAUUUAUAAGGACAUGCAUGAUCUGUCAAAAGCAUAAUACACAAGGUAACCUAAGACCAAAAAGAGGUCAUUUUCCUGCACCACCUCACUCAUUUCAUACUAUUCACAUGGAUUUCAUUGAGCUAAAUGAAAGCUAAGGUUCAAAAUACGCAUUAGUGAUUAUAGAUGUGUUCUCAAAAUGGCCAGAAAUUUAUCCUGUAAAAAAGGCAGAUGCAAUCUCUGUAGCAAAAUGCCUAUGCAACCAUUUUGUCCCAACAUAUGGCAUACCGUCCCUAAUAAGAUCAGACAAUGGAACACAUUUUGUAAAUGAUGUGAUUAGCAAGGUCUCCGAAGCAUUAGGAUUUAGUAUAAAAAAUCACUGUGCCUACCAUCCACAAAGUGCAGGGCUAGUGGAAAGAACAAAUGGCACUAUCAAGCAAAGAUUAAGGAAAUGCAUGGAAGAGACGGGGAGACCAUGGCCUGAAUGUAUAGGUCUAGUAAAAAUGUGGAUGAGAUUAACACAAGGUUCCCAAAAAUUGACGCCGUUUGAAAUAAUUCAUGGAAGACCUUUCCCCCUACCAAUACUGAGUGAACCAGUAAACAAAUCAGUUAGAGAGACCGCUCUAGCAGAGUGGAUGGCAAAGCUACUAGAAAAUAAAGACAUUGUGGUGAACAACAAAUUGCCGUGUGACUCUUCUCCAGUAUCUUGCAGGACCAUACCAAGUGCUUUUAACCAUGCCGACUGCAUGCAAGAUUUCUGAAAGACCAUCCUGGAUUCACCAAAGCCACUGUAAGAAAGUAAGUGAGAGCAUAGACUAACUAGACGCCGACGUCCCUGCCCUCUGGUGAUCCGGAAGGUGGAGGAAGGGCUGAUUGGGUAUAUCCCGCCCUUUGCUUCUUGCCUUUGGUCUACUUAUCAGAGGGGCCAGGUGCGCCAGGUCACCAUGAAGCUGCUCCUGAUCUCACUGACCCUGGCAGUACUGGCAGCAGGAUGCUUCCUACUAUUCAAUAUGGACCAAAAGCAUCACCAGAAGAAAGCUUGGACGCAUGAUAACUCACACCACUACACAAUGACAUUUCCAAUGGCACCUAUUGGGUGCAGGGAAUGGCCUGGCUAUGUGGACAGCGGGCCUAUUUCACUCUCCCCCAGAACUGGAUGGGUAUGUGUGCUCCAAUCUUCAUAUCUGAUCACAUGUUUAAGAUAACUACCGACAAUACAUCACCCAUAAGAGGGAAAAGAUCAGUUGACACUCCAGAUCUGAAACCACAUGACCCAAUAUGGGGCUCUGACGUCCCACAGGAAUUCAAGCUUUGGACUACAGGACAGAAAGUGCUGCACUCACUCUUUCCGUGGGUGGGCACAGGGAAAAAUGCGCUGAGGAUCGAGACAUUGAACUAUCGAUUUGGAUUGUUCCUGGAUACAUCAUGUCGAGUCAAUGACCAGCAAAACGAGGAGAUAGAUGCCCUGCGAAUAAUGGUCAUGCAACAUCAAGUGGCGCUUGAUAUUGUGCUGGCUGAAAAAGGAGGAUUAUGUGUACUUUUUAACACCACCUGUUGCACUUACAUACCUGACAACAUACAUUCUAGUAACAUGACGGGUGCAUUAAAAGUUUUAAAACGACUUCAGAAUGUGCAGUCAAAGGAAUAUGUAGACGGGGGUACAGAUUGGUUGAAAUGAUUGCUAAGUGGCUCGUGGACUGUUUUGCUGUAUAAAGGUCUAAUAUUCAUAGGACUCUUACUUGUAUUCUCCACAUGUAUUCUCCCUUGUCUCAGGAAGAUGAUUUCUAAAAUGAUUUCCACAUCAUUGACAGCUUAUGUUACUGUACCAAUGGAUGACAAAAAUGAUCUGAGUAACAGUGAAGAUAACUUUGAAGACGAAGAUGUUUAUGUGUAAGAAGAAAAUCUUAAAGACGACCUGUGAAGUUAGAUUGCAAUAUAAGUAACACAUAAUGAUGACAUGUUUGAAAAUGCUAGGAGCAAGAGAACAUGUUCUGAAAUAAAGUGUGAAACAUGUUUAAAUGAGCUAAAACAGGAGGGAAUGUUAAAGGAUUUUUAUAUGUAUUCUGCUUUAUUGUAGUUAAAAACCCCUAGUUGUUUAGCUUCAUUUAAAUCUCCUAUUUUACUGUGUUUCAUGACAAAGCUUGCAUGAGGAAAUACCACAGGUGCCUCCACCCUUGCUGAGUUUGCUGAGAUAAGCUUGACCAGUUACUAUUUUUAACAGUUUAAAUAUGUUUCAUGCUUGUCACCUUGUAAGGAAUUGUUUUACACACAAGGGGCGCCGACCUGACAUAUUUUAGGAAGGAGCAGUGUAUAAAUACAGAGGGAACUGAUGUCUCAGUGUGAGUCUCCACUGAGAUCACCCAUGUAUAUACA